CUAAUGUUGAAAAAUUAGCGGAUGACCUGUGGCUGGGGGUGAAAGGCCAAUCAAACCGGGAGAUAGCUGGUUCUCCCCGAAAGCUAUUUAGGUAGCGCCUCGUGAAUUCAUCUCCGGGGGUAGAGCACUGUUUCGGCUAGGGGGCCAUCCCGGCUUACCAACCCGAUGCAAACUGCGAAUACCGGAGAAUGUUAUCACGGGAGACACACGGCGGGUGCUAACGUCCGUCGUGAAGAGGGAAACAACCCAGACCGCCAGCUAAGGUCCCAAAGUCAUGGUUAAGUGGGAAACGAUGUGGGAAGGCCCAGACAGCCAGGAUGUUGGCUUAGAAGCAGCCAUCAUUUAAAGAAAGCGUAAUAGCUCACUGGUCGAGUCGGCCUGCGCGGAAGAUGUAACGGGGCUAAACCAUGCACCGAAGCUGCGGCAGCGACGCUGAUGCGUUGUUGGGUAGGGGAGCGUUCUGUAAGCCUGUGAAGGUGGCCUGUGAGGGUUGCUGGAGGUAUCAGAAGUGCGAAUGCUGACAUAAGUAACGAUAAAGCGGGUGAAAAGCCCGCUCGCCGGAAGACCAAGGGUUCCUGUCCAACGUUAAUCGGGGCAGGGUGAGUCGACCCCUAAGGCGAGGCCGAAAGGCGUAGUCGAUGGGAAACGGGUUAAUAUUCCCGUACUUGGUGUUACUGCGAAGGGGGGACGGAGAAGGCUAUGUUGGCCGGGCGACGGUUGUCCCGGUUUAAGCGUGUAGGUGUGUGUUCCAGGUAAAUCCGGUU
rnacentral:rRNA from 1 species